UUCCGCUGACUUCUCUAAGCUAAAUCAAGCGUGCUGCUUCAUCCAAGAACACGAAGUUGCUGACUUUUGUAAUCGGAAUCACCGACGAUUCCUGUGAUGUCUGGCCUCGAUGUUGGUCUCAAAUGACUCAUCAUCAUCCGAGAUACCUUCUAGGCCCAUUGCAUGUGAAGAUCUUAUUCAAAUUUGUGAUUUAAUACGAUUGAAUUUUAGUAAAAUUUUCAUGAUUUUGUAAAAAAAAAAAAUCGUUUAAAUUUCUGAGCUUUGGAGGGUUCUUCAUUAAACUUAUGGAGCUUUUUGGCGUUUUUAUUUGAGAUUUAGUAUUUUUCUUUCUAGAUUUUGUAGAAUACUUGGAUUAAAUUUGGGAGUUUGGUAGUGGUGUUUUUUCUGUGCAUUUUUGGUGAACUUGGUUGUAGGUUUUGAUGUUUGUCUGCAGCAGGGAAAGGGACGAAAAUCAUUCCACGCCCUCCAACAGUUCCAGACUCUGAUUGUGCACCGCCAACUCGCGAACCAAGUGCUAUUUCAGCACCUGCAGGAGAUGAACGAAGCGAGAUGGGUCCUUUGGUCCGAAAGAGUUUCAGCAGCUAGGCAGUUGCAACACACGUUAAGUACUUCCAUGUGCCUCCUUAUGCUGGGAUUUUGUUAGACAGUUCAACAUUGUCGUACAAAACGAAGGAGACGUCAUUAACGGAGUUACAGAUUUGGGUGUCUUUAGUGAAACAAAACCGGAUUGUUUUAACUUUGUAUAGUUGUAAACAUAAAACAAUCUCUGGGAUAGAGCCAUAGCUUUUGAAAGACAAUCCUUAAGGAUGGCAUACCAACAUUCCCAAUUUUUUCCAUGUAACAUAUGAACGUAAAUAGCACUUCCAUAACACAUGGAUGUAAUAUAUGU